rnacentral:rRNA from 1 species
GCCCCCCUACGGGAGGCAGCAGUGGGAUUUUUGGACAAUGGGGCAUGCUUUAUCCAGCCCGCGGCGUCAGUGAAGAAGGCUUAGGGUUGUAAAGCUCUUUCGGCGGGGACGAAACAAUCCUUUUUAAUACCACGGAAUAAUGACGGUACCCGCAGAAGAAGCACCGGAAACUACGUGCCAGCAGCCGCGGUAAUACGUAGGCGCGCGCGUUUUGGGAAUUACUGGGCGUAAAGCGUGUGUAGGCGGUUUAUAUGAGAGGUGUGAAAUCUCCGGGCUUAACCUGGGAAGUGCGCUUGUAACUGGCAGACUAGAGUGUAGAGAGGAGUGUAAAUUUCCGGGUGUAGCGGUAAAAUGUGUAUAUAUCUGGGGAAACACCGAGGGCGAAGGCAGCCCCGUGGGCUAACACUGACGCUGAGGCACGAGAGCGUGGGGAGCACACAGGAUUAUGAUACCCUGGUGUCCACGCCCUAAAAUAUGUAAACGGGUUGUGGGGGA